rnacentral:rRNA from 1 species
AGGACGAACGCUGGCGGCGUGCUUAACACAUGCAAGUCGAGCGGAAAGGCCACUUCGGUGGUACUCGAGCGGCGAACGGGUGAGUAACACGUGAGUAAUCUGCCCCCCACUUCGGGAUAGCCACCGGAAACGGUGAUUAAUACCGGAUAUGACGCAUCUUCGCAUGUUGGUGUGUGGAAAGUUUUUCGGUGGGGGAUGUGCUCGCGGCCUAUCAGCUUGAUGGUGAGGUAAUGGCUCACCAUGGCUUCGACGGGUAGCCGGCCUGAGAGGGUGACCGGUCACACUGGGACUGAGACACGGCCCAGACUCCUACGGGAGCAGCAGUGGGGAAUAUUGGACAAUGGGCGGAAGCCUGAUCCAGCAACGCCGCGUGAGGAUGACUGCCUUCGGGUUGUAAACCUCUUUCAGCAGGACGAAGCGCAAGUGACGGUACCUGACAGAAGUAAGCACCGGACUAACUACGUGCCAGCAGCCGC